rnacentral:rRNA from 1 species
UACAGAGGGUGCGAGCGUUAAUCGGAAUUACUGGGCGUAAAGCGCGCGUAGGCGGCUUUGCAAGUCGGGUGUGAAAUCCCCAGGCUUAACCUGGGAGCUGCAUUCGAGACUGCAUUGCUAGAGUAUGGGAGAGGGAAGUGGAAUUUCAGGUGUAGCGGUGAAAUGCGUAGAUAUCUGAAGGAACAUCAGUGGCGAAAGCGACUUCCUGGACCAAUACUGACGCUCAUGUGCGAAAGCGUGGGGAGCAAACAGG